CUAUCCUGCUUUUGGAAACCAAGCGAACCCAAUAGCUAAACAAAAUAAUUUUUUUCUCAUCUAACGUUAACCCUUCCGUUUUUUUUUCUCUAAAAUCCUUACCUCAUUUGUUUUGUUAAAUUUCUCGCUUCGGCGCGCCUUUUUUUUCCCCUUCUAUUUGAAAAUUCACCUUCAACCCCAAUGUUCUUUUGUGUUCAUUUCGAGCUCGUUAUGCAAAAAGGACGAAGUAUGAACUUCAUUGCGCCGAAGCUGCUGCUGCUGCUACUACACAGACACAAAACAAAGAUUCGCAUUUUUUUUUUCUCUUCAUUUUUUUUUUCGGGGUCUCCCUCACAAGCGAAAGGCCAUUUGUGUUCUUGCUGAAUAAUAAUAAUCCAUUAAGAUGGUGUUGCCAUCAUUACUCCCCCCGUUUAUUUUAGGAACCUGUUCUACUUGUCAAGUUGAAGAAUGUUCACCCUAUUUCCUCCUCUCUCCGGGUAACAUUAUAACAAAUUAUAGAAAGACAGCAGUUAUAUUCCAAACGAAGGUGGAAGUAACAUCGCCGUUUGCAACACGUCGAAUUUCAAGUUGAAUUAUAUAUUUCAGACCUGAGCGUGUGUAAAUGUGUGUGAUCGAUUGAAAUCGGAUUCUUGAAAAAAUCUGGUCUUGUUUUCACCAUGCUUUGAUUAUUUUCUUUUUUUUUUCUUUAAUUUUCUUGAUUGAGAAAUGACCUCAACAAAUGCUGUCCUCGUUGUUUCCUCUGCUCCAACCUUUUUUUUUCACUUUCAUUUUUAUUUUAAAAAUAGUUUGCGCGUCUCUCGUUUCGGUGAUGAUGAAAUUCGUAUGUUUCCUAUGAUAACGAUAAUUUAGUUUCUGAUUGACUUGAUGUUUUUUUUUUCUCCUUUACCCUCUUUUGCAACAUUAGAUAGAGAUACGAACGAGUUUGCUGCUGAAUUGCUGCCUUUUUGUAGUUGCACACACAACUGUAGACAGGUUCUCCCCAUACGCAUCUCCCAUCAAGUUCUAAGAACGUUACAAUUUAUUAUUAUUCCUUUUUACCCUGCAAGUCACGCGCUGUGUGUGUGAGAGUGUGUGUGUGUGUGUGUGUUUGCGUGCAAGUGGGAUUUGCUGGAAAACAAAAGAAAUACAUCAAUUUCUGCGAUUGAUGCGUCAGAUCGAUUUUUCAAUCAAAAUGUCGGAGAUACGGGAGGUAUCACAUUUCUUCCCAAGGAAGGAAACGAGUUCAUCCACAGCGUCGACGAAUCAAUUCUCCACGAACCCAUCAGGAUGAUGGCAGCCCUUAAAAAAUGUCAACUGGUAAAUUUACUAUUUGCUUUGCUGGGGACUGUUCGGAAUGGAACGGGGUUUGACGUCAGCACUCAGCACUUAACCGAUUGGUUUUCUACCGAGUGCCGAAUUUAGGUACAGCAAUAAUGCCCCCGUUUUCACGCAAUUAGAUUUAUCAGUCCAAUCGUUAAGUGUAUUUCUACGUAGUUGGAAUGUUUUUAGUGCUUGCAGUCACGUCGUUUAGAUCAGGUUGCAUAUCUGAUAAUGCCUAUUCGAGCAGCAACAGUAGGAGCGAACGAAGAAACAAGUGAAACGACAGUUUCAGUCAACCAUGGAUCGGCUGGCAAGUAUUGGAACUGGAGUUUGCAUCCAAUAAUCAUUUUUUCCAUGUUGGUUGGAGUUGAUUUGACUGUUCCAUCAAAAAAUUCCUGUCGUCAAAAAUGGAAAAAGAUCUUCUGUGUUAUUUCUUUAAUGAUCCACGCAGCCUUCACGCUGAACUUGGUGCAGAUUUUCCAGGGUCAGCUGAGUGAAAUAACCAGUUUUUUUUUUGGAGAGGAUGGAAACCAAUCUACGACUGCCUUGUGGAAUGUAGUCAUCGAUGUUAUCAAUUUUGAAAUCGGCUGUUUUGGCGCCCACUGGAUUAUGUAUUUUUGCAUCAAAAAGAGAUGGGCCUCUCUCUGUGAUGCCUUUCAAUUGCUGGUUCCACUUUUCGACGCCGAAUUUUACAAGGAAUUUCACGCCAAAUUACGACGCUGUUCUUACUACGGUUUAGCGUGCAUCGUAUUAGGGGUUGGCAGUUUGAGUAUUAUUGGAGUUGUUCCGAAUAUUUAUACGGAGACCACAUUCAACAUAAAAUUUUUGGCACUUUCGCAAGUUUUCUUCCAGAUUUAUCACGUAUUGUCAAUUACGUUGUUCGCUAUUGCCAGUUAUGCUUCAUCGAUUUCCUUUCAAUCUAUCGCUUUGAAACUGAAUGGCUGGAAAAAUCCACAAGCUCUUAAUCUGCAUCCGAAUGCUGACCUUAUUCUCCUGAAACGCUAUUACGUUUUGGCUUGCCAGACUGUCGACAGCAUUCACCAUUGUUUCGGCUGGAGCCUUCUAUUCAUCGUGCCACAUUUAUUCGUCGCCAUCAUUAAUGCGUCGUUUUACUGGUUUGCCAAAACUAAUGAGAACAACUCGGCUUCUGAAAUCACGUUUUUCUUCUUUCUUCUCAUCAAUCUUUUCGUCGUUUGCACAACUUCCGAUCGCGUACGUAUUCAGUCGGAGAGGGUACUCAAAGAACUUAUUCGACUAAGAAUCGAACCGAGACAUAAUCAUUGCAGAAAACAGGUCCAUGAACUCCUCAUGCAAGUAGUAUUAAACUCACCACGAAUAAGCGCUCUUGGCUUCUUCAACGUCAGUAAAAAAUUAAUUCCCACUAUGAUUGGAACGACGCUGACGUACUACUUUAUUCUCCGUCAGUUUCAUUCUUCAGAGAAAAAGUCUUUUCGUUGACACUUAUACUAUUGCAUUAUCGCAAUCAUGUAUUUGAAAGUUCACUUAAAUGCGCUCUUUACCUUAUAGAAUUUAUGCUUAAUUACGUAUUCAGUUUCCACGUCAUUCUAGAACGAUAAAGGGUACAUAGAAUACGCGCAUCAAGCAAUUAUGAAAUGGAAAUACGCUACUAUUAUCAUACAUGAUUGAAUGAGUCAUUAGGUGUACAUUCAUUUUUGACGUGUAUUCUUUGUCGUUGUCAUUCGUCACAAAUUUGUAAGAUCACUAAUGGAUUAUCUAACAAGUGCAACCCCCCCCCCCCCCCCCCCCCAAACAAAAAGACCCAUUAAGGUCUACAACUUUUUUGUUAUUAUUUAGUAGUCGGCGUAGAAUGUUGGUUCCGACAAGAACUGUAAGUGAGGAAGCAGUUGAAAAGGGCUGGUUAUGGAGUGUUCAACCUCUUGUCACUUGGGCAAAAUGGUUGGGUAUUGAUUUGUCGAGUGAACAGAAAUUUUCUCGGUGUUUUGUUUUGUAUUCCCUUUUUGUUCUUUUAACUUCUAUGUCCAUUCAGUUGCUAUGUUUAAGCUACAUUAUCGAUAACCACAAGGAAAUAUCUGUUACUUUUACCAUUGAAACUAGUUACCAUUCCGAUACAUUUUCAUGGAACACGGCGAUGGAUUAUGUUAACUAUGCUGUUCACAGCCUUGCAACCCACGUAAUUUUUUUGUCCGUUUUUCGGGCUCGAUGGAAUUUGUUGGGAGAAACUUUCCAAAAUUUGGAAUCAUUUUUGAAAUUCAGUUUCUUCGACAGAAUCCGAAAAGCCUCUAUUUUAGGUCUAGUUUGGAUCAUUCUUCUGCAUACUUCGUUAUUAGCUACUAAUCUAUAUCACCAUUCCAAAUAUGGAUCAUCAUUCUUGAUUCUGUUUUGUUCCUUGGUGUCUGUUUUUUCGCAAGUUUAUCCCAUCACGGCUAUAGUUCUAUUUUCAGUCGUGUGUUACGCUUCAUCAAACGCACAUCAAUCAAUCCGAAUGGACCUUAAUCUUCUCAAGAAUACCACAACAGACGGGAACUAUUAUAAUCGCUUGUCAACUUUGAAGAGGAGACAUGCGCUUGUGUGUGAGACGGUUGAUCACAUCAACCACUGCUUCGGCUUUUUUAUGGGAAUUUCUCUGUCCUUUCAUUUUGUGUCUAUGAUUACCGCAUCAUUUUAUUUGUUCGGAACUGAUAAAGAGCCUGGAUCAGUUCUGGACAUAGGUUUUGCGUGCUCGCAAAUUUUUAAUCUUUCACUUAUUUGUUACCCAGCGGACCUGAUCCGCCUUAAGGCCGAUUCAGUUUUGAGAAAACUCAUCCGUAUGCAACUUGAAAUGGAAGAACCCCUUAAAUCUUUGACGAACGCAUUCGCGGAGCAAACAAGCCUGUUUUUCCCUCAAAUUAAUGCGGCUGGUUUCUAUCCCAUAAGCAGAAAAAUCAUUCCUCAGUGGGAACGACACUCUCCUAUUUUUUCAUUCUCUACCAAUUUCAGUCAGCCGAGAGAAGCGAUACGUCAGUAAAUGCAGGAAUAUGAUUUAUU
rnacentral:misc_RNA from 1 species